rnacentral:rRNA from 1 species
UGGGGAAUUUUGGACAAUGGGCGAAAGCCUGAUCCAGCAAUGCCGCGUGUGUGAAGAAGGCCUUCGGGUUGUAAAGCACUUUUGUCCGGAAAGAAAUCCCUGGCUCUAAUACAGUCGGGGGAUACGGUACCGGAAGAAUAAGCACCGGCUAACUACGUGCCAGCAGCCGCGGUAAUACGUAGGGUGCAAGCGUUAAUCGGAAUUACUGGGCGUAAAGCGUGCGCAGGCGGUUUGCUAAGACCGAUGUGAAAUCCCCGGGCUCAACCUGGGAACUGCAUUGGUGACUGGCAGGCUAGAGUAUGGCAGAGGGGGGUAGAAUUCCACGUGUAGCAGUGAAAUGCGUAGAGAUGUGGAGGAAUACCGAUGGCGAAGGCGACGCCCCCUGGGCCAAUACUGACGCUCAUGCACG